rnacentral:rRNA from 1 species
UGGGGAAUUUUGGACAAUGGGGGAAACCCUGAUCCAGCCAUCCCGCGUGUGCGAUGAAGGCCUUCGGGUUGUAAAGCACUUUUGGCAGGAAAGAAACGUCAUGGGUUAAUACCCCGUGAAACUGACGGUACCUGCAGAAUAAGCACCGGCUAACUACGUGCCAGCAGCCGCGGUACUACGUAGGGUGCAAGCGUUAAUCGGAAUUACUGGGCGUAAAGCGUGCGCAGGCGGUUCGGAAAGAAAGAUGUGAAAUCCCAGAGCUCAACUUUGGAACUGCAUUUUUAACUACCGGGCUAGAGUGUGUCAGAGGGAGGUGGAAUUCCGCGUGUAGCAGUGAAAUGCGUAGAUAUGCGGAGGAACACCGAUGGCGAAGGCAGCCUCCUGGGAUAACACUGACGCUCAUGCACGAAAGCGUGGGGAGCAAACAGG